rnacentral:rRNA from 1 species
UGAGGAAUAUUGGACAAUGGGCGCAAGCCUGAUCCAGCAAUGCCGCGUGCAGGAUGAAGGCCUUCGGGUUGUAAACUGCUUUUGUACGGAGCGAAAAGGUCUGCCCUAAUACGGUGGGCUCAUGACGGUACCGUAAGAAUAAGCACCGGCUAACUACGUGCCAGCAGCCGCGGUAAUACGUAGGGUGCGAGCGUUAAUCGGAAUUACUGGGCGUACAGCGUGCGCAGGCGGUUAUAUAAGACAGAUGUGAAAUCCCCGGGCUCAACCCGGGACCUGCAUUUGUGACUGUAUAGCUAGAGUACGGUAGAGGGGGAUGGAAUUCCGCGUGUAGCAGUGAAAUGCGUAGAUAUGCGGAGGAACACCGAUGGCGAAGGCAAUCCCCUGGACCUGUACUGACGCUCAUGCACGAAAGCGUGGGGAGCAAACA